UUUUAAGGUGAUUGGCGAAAAGUUGGAUAGAACCGAGACCCGUUAUCUAUAGAGAUAGAAACCAACGGUAUAGGUGAACGCCACACACGAAAGUGGUAAGUUCAGGAACGGAGAUUGGAUGACGCCACUAGCAAUGCUAGAUAAGUCAGAUCGAAUCACCAAGAACAAUGAGAGUUGAAUAAAACUCACAAAGUUUAUAAUUCAUAAAAUAACAAAGUUCAGUAAGCUAACCUUGCAAAUGACCUAUUACAAACUAUUUAUAGAUACAAAGAAUGACCAUUUAAAUUCGGCAUCUUUGUGUUCACUCAACUAUUAAAAAAAUGUUCACACUUCAAACAUUAAAUCUCUAUUCAUGGAUAAUGUAAGUUCAUGCACGGUUGAAUAAUCAUGUUUCUUCCCAAAACCGUUCAU
rnacentral:lncRNA from 1 species